rnacentral:rRNA from 1 species
GAGUUUGAUCGUGGCUCAGGAUGAACGCUGGCGGCGUGCCUAACACAUGCAAGUCGAGCGAAGCACUUGUUCUGAUCUUUCGGGUGAAGAAACUUGUGACUGAGCGGCGGACGGGUGAGUAACACGUAGGCAACCUGCCUCACACAGGGGGAUAACAGUUAGAAAUGACUGCUAAUACCGCAUAAGCGCACAGGGCUGCAUGGCCCGUGUGAAAAGCUCCGGCGUGUGAGAUGGACCUGCGUCUGAUUAGCCAGU